rnacentral:rRNA from 1 species
GAUUCCUACGGGAGGCAGCAGUAGGGAAUUUUCGUCAAUGGGCGCAAGCCUGAACGAGCAAUGCCGCGUGAACGAGGAAGGUCUUCGGAUCGUAAAGUUCUGUUGAAGGGGAAAAAGAGCGGAGAGAGGAAAUGAACUCCGAUUGAUAUUACCCUUCGAGGAAGUCACGGCUAACUACGUGCCAGCAGCCGCGGUAAUACGUAGGUGGCAAGCGUUGUCCGGAUUUACUGGGUGUAACGGGCGUGUAGCCGGGUUGACAAGUCAGAUGUGAAAUCCUGCGGCUAAACCGCAGAACUGCAUUUGAA